GGGGAGCUGCUGGAACUUUGCUUCCCAGGACAUGGAGAAAACAAGUGUUGUGUGGAUCUGUUACACAACACCCAGGAUAGAAGUUAAUUGUGUCAUUUUGAAUGAGAAGUGAACUUUAGCAGCAGACCAGGAGGGAACCCUCCUUGGUGCACUGCUGGAAUUUGCUCAGGGCACGCACAGGAUGGUUGGAAAAAACCCAGCCUGGGCAUGUCAGGAUUCAAAUAACGUGCACCCUCUCGUGGUUUAUUCCUGUCACAGGGUGAGCACACAGGAUGGUUUCUGUGUGGAACAGGCUGGGGAUCCCCUCAGCUGCUGUUGAUUUAAGAAAAGACUGUGCACUAAGAUUUGUUCUGUAUUUUAUGGGUUUUUUUCAAUGUAAGAGUUAUGCUACAUUUGCUGUAAAAGGAUUUCUGCCUUCAGUGUUUUUCAGACUCAUUCUUUCACCUUGAAAGGCCACUUCAAUGUGCAGGUGACCUGUCCCUUGGCAAGGUUUGGGUUGACACCAGUGGGGAUGGAUAUGAGGAUACUGCAGCUGGAGCUCCCCUUGAAGAUCAGCUUUCGAACCGUUCCUCUUUUGGCAGCACUUCCACCUUUAAUAAAGGUGAUAAAAACAAGAUCAAGGGCUGUGUUGCCCAGAGAGUAAAAACCUCUGGAAUUUCUUCAGGACUCCAGUAUUUUGGACAAUCCAUUGCUGGUGGCUUUGAUUUCCCCAGUGAUGGUCUCCAAGACAGGGCAGCAGGAUCUCUGGAGAACGUGACUCUGCUCUGCCAUGUGAGGUCCACUGUUUUUCCAGGGUUUUUCUGAGAAUUAAACAUGAGAAAAAUGAUAACAUGGAGUUUCCUGUUCCUGUGCUGGACAGACACCACCCAUCAGAAAAUGCAUUUUCAGUUCCCUGGCAUGGACUGCAGCAACAGGACCAUCUGUGCUGCUCAUUUGACUUUGACAAGGCAGAUAUGCAUUAAGAGCAUUCCUGAUCCUUUGGCAGCCAUCCUCUCCUGCUGGUCACUGUGGCCAACCAACACCACUAUCUGCUGCAGUCUGUGACUGCAGAACUGGGCAGCCUGUGCUCAAGGAGACAACUGUGAGUAGAAAUCAUUAACUUCCCUUUUCCCUGCCUCUAAAUGAUACUCUGAGUAGCUGCUCUUCAUCCUUUCUCUCUACAACCAGGCCAGAGCUGCUCUUCCUUCUAACUCAGCUCAUGGCUGGGGGGGCAUUCCCUCAAGGCAAGAGAUAACUUUUAUAUUCCUGCACUAAAUGUCUGAUUUUUCCAGGAGGGAAUGAUGGGCAGAAAAUACACCAGUCACCAUGUUUUAUCAGUACCCUGGUGAGUUACAGAGUAUUUACAGGGUAACUGAUAUUUUGCCUGUCUUUUCCCUCAAAAUAGGCAAAAUUUUCAGAGAUUUGGCAAUUAAAUGAAAGCAUGAUCCAAAAUAGGUCUGCAAUCACUAUGAGUAUCACUAAGUGGUGUUGUCUUCACCACAAAAUCCACUGUGAACUGGAAACACCAGAAUUCCUACCUGGAGACCAUUUGACUUGUUACAUGAAACCAGGCUUGUUCUUUUCAGCCUUCCAAAGCCUUUGGAUCCAUGUGAAAAAUCUUCCCUUAGGAUAAUUUUAACUUUGCUUAUACUUCCUUGUUUCAGUAAAAGAUGGAGCACCCUUGAAGGGCCUAAUUUAGGUGUAGCACAGAUUAAAAAAACUCGUGUUUUCUGAGGUGGCAAACUGGGUUCUGGCAUCCUCCUUCCUUAGCAGGGAGAACAGAGCAUUAAAAUAUAUAAUCCUGCUCUGUUCCAAGUAAAGCUUUUACUCCAAGUGAUUGGGAUGAAAAUAUUUGUUCAGGGCAUUUAUCUUGAUUAGGGGGAAGUUACCAUUCUGAUUCCUUUCUUGGAAUUUAUGGGGAACUGACUCCCAUUAAAAUUUAUGGGCACUGGAUAGUGCACAAGAUUUUUUUCUGUAUUUAUUUUAAUCAGAGAGCAUCUUUAAAAAGAAAAUGAGGGCUCAUCUCUGGCAGCUGCACUGCCUUGGAAGCACAGUUUAAGGCAAAGGUUUCUACAUUAAUUUAAUGUGCAGUUCUGUGAGGGGUAGAAGCUUUAAAUUUUGAAUAAUGAAAAUCCCUACGUGUUCACAAAUGAGCAAAUUGGUUUGCAGGGAAACAUUCCAAGGCAAUGGCAGCUUUCAAAACCUGUAGUGACAACGGGCUGCUCCAACACCACUGCCCCAUGUCACCCCUGGGCUGGCACCUCUCCUUUCUUAGUUCCUGCCACUGUCCCAUCCUUCCUGCACAGCCCAAAUCAGCAGUUCUCAAACCACGGAAA